GAUGAACGCUGGCGGCGUGCCUAAUACAUGCAAGUCGAGCGAACAGACGAGGAGCUUGCUCCUCUGACGUUAGCGGCGGACGGGUGAGUAACACGUGGAUAACCUACCUAUAAGACUGGGAUAACUUCGGGAAACCGGAGCUAAUACCGGAUAAUAUAUUGAACCGCAUGGUUCAAUAGUGAAAGACGGUUUUGCUGUCACUUAUAGAUGGAUCCGCGCCGCAUUAGCUAGUUGGUAAGGUAACGGCUUACCAAGGCAACGAUGCGUAGCCGACCUGAGAGGGUGAUGGGCCAGACUGGAACUGAGACACGGGCCAGACUCCUGCGGGAGGCAGCAGUAGGGAAUCUUCCGCGAUGGGCGCAAGCCUGACGGAGCAACGCCGCGUGAGUGAUGAAGGUCUUCGGAUCGUAAAACUCUGUUAUUAGGAAAGAACAAAUGUGUAAGUAACUAUGCACGUCUUGACGGUACCUAAUCAGAAAGCCACGACUAACUCCGUG
rnacentral:rRNA from 1 species